CUCCGGUUGAUCCCGCCGGACCUGACUGCUAUCGGAUUGGUACUAAGCCAUGCGAGUCGUUGUAGCAAUACAAGGCGGACGGCUCAGUAACACGUAGUCAACCUAACCUAUGGACGUGGAUAACCUCGGGAAACUGAGAAUAAACCGCGAUAGAUCAUUAUGCCUGGAAUGGCUUAUGGUUCAAACAAUUUAUUGCCGUAGGAUGGGACUGCGGCCUAUCAGCUUGUUGGUGAGGUAAUGGCCCACCAAGGCUAUAACAGGUACGGGCUCUGAGAGGAGAAGCCCGGAGAUGGGUACUGAGACACGGACCCAGGCCCUAUGGGGCGCAGCAGGCGAGAAACCUUAGCAAUGUGCGAAAGCACGACUAGGUUAAUCCGAGUGAUUUCUGUUGAAGAAAUCUUUUGUCAGUCAUAAAACCACAGACGAAUAAGGGGUGGGCAAGUCUGGUGUCAGCCGCCGCGGUAAUACCAGCACCUCGAGUGGUCAGGAGGUUUAUUGGGCCUAAAGCAUCCGUAGCCGGCUACGCAAGUCUCCGGUUAAAUCCAGCUGCUCAACAGAUGGGCUGCCGGAGAUACUACAUAGCUAGGGAGCGGGAGAGGCAGACGGUAUUCUGUGGGUAGGGGUAAAAUCCUUUGAUCCAUAGAGGACCACCAGUGGCGAAGGCGGUCUGCCAGAACGCGUUCGACGGUGAGGGAUGAAAGCUGGGGGAGCAAACCGGAUUAGAUACCCGGGUAGUCCCAGCUGUAAACGAUGCAAACUCGGUGAUGCAUUGGCUUAUGGCCAAUGCAGUGCCGCAGGGAAGCCGUUAAGUUUGCCGCCUGGGAAGUACGGACGCAAGUCUGAAACUUAAAGGAAUUGGCGGGGGAGCA
rnacentral:rRNA from 1 species